rnacentral:rRNA from 2 species
UCCGUAGGUGAACCUGCGGAGGGAUCAUUACACAAAUAUGAAGGCGGGCUGGAACCUCUCGGGGUUACAGCCUUGCUGAAUUAUUCACCCUUGUCUUUUGCGUACUUCUUGUUUCCUUGGUGGGUUCGCCCACCACUAGGACAAACAUAAACCUUUUGUAAUUGCAAUCAGCGUCAGUAACAAAUUAAUAAUUACAACUUUCAACAACGGAUCUCUUGGUUCUGGCAUCGAUGAAGAACGCAGCGAAAUGCGAUAAGUAGUGUGAAUUGCAGAAUUCAGUGAAUCAUCGAAUCUUUGAACGCACAUUGCGCCCUUUGGUAUUCCAAAGGGCAUGCCUGUUCGAGCGUCAUUUGUACCCUCAAGCUUUGCUUGGUGUUGGGCGUCUUGUCUCUAGCUUUGCUGGAGACUCGCCUUAAAGUAAUUGGCAGCCGGCCUACUGGUUUCGGAGCGCAGCACAAGUCGCACUCUCUAUCAGCAAAGGUCUAGCAUCCAUUAAGCCUUUUUUUCAACUUUUGACCUCGGAUCAGGUAGGGAUACCCGCUGAACUUAAGCAUAUCAAUAAGCGGAGGAAAAG